AUUGAACGCUGGCAGCAGGCCUAACACAUGCAAGUCGAGCGGAUGAAGGGAGCUUGCUCCUGGAUUCAGCGGCGGACGGGUGAGUAAUGCCUAGGAAUCUGCCUGGUAGUGGGGGAUAACGUCCGGAAACGGGCGCUAAUACCGCAUACGUCCUGAGGGAGAAAGUGGGGGAUCUUCGGACCUCACGCUAUCAGAUGAGCCUAGGUCGGAUUAGCUAGUUGGUGGGGUAAAGGCCUACCAAGGCGACGAUCCGUAACUGGUCUGAGAGGAUGAUCAGUCACACUGGAACUGAGACACGGUCCAGACUCCUACGGGAGGCAGCAGUGGGGAAUAUUGGACAAUGGGCGAAAGCCUGAUCCAGCCAUGCCGCGUGUGUGAAGAAGGUCUUCGGAUUGUAAAGCACUUUAAGUUGGGAGGAAGGGCAGUAAGCUAAUACCUUGCUGUUUUGACGUUACCAACAGAAUAAGCACCGGCUAACUUCGUG
rnacentral:rRNA from 1 species